rnacentral:tRNA from 1 species
CCCCAUCGUCUAGAGGCCUAGGACACCGCCCUUUCACGGCGGUAACAGGGGUUCGAAUCCCCUUGGGGACGCCA